rnacentral:misc_RNA from 1 species
GCAAACUUGGUCAUUUAGAGGAAGUAAAAGUCGUAACAAGGUCUCCGUAGGUGAACCUGCGGAGGGAUCAUUACCGAGUCCCCGCUCCUUGUGAGCGGACCUCCCACCCAUUGUGAUCGCUACGAUCGUUGCUUUGGCGGGCCGUUCGGGUCCAACCCGGCCACCGGCUCUCUGCUGGUGUGCGCCCGCCAGAGGCUACUAAACUCUGAGAUUUAUGUCUGUCUGAGUAUUAUAUAAUCGUUAAAACUUUCAACAACGGAUCUCUUGGUUCUGGCAUCGAUGAAGAACGCAGC